GAGCACGUAGGUGGGUUUGUAAGUCAGAUGUGAAAGCCUCCUGUUCAACGGGAGAAUUGCAUCUGAAACUGCGAAUCUUGAGUGUAGGAGGGGAGAAUGGAACUUCUGGUGGAGCGGUGAAAUGCGUAGAUAUCAGAAGGAACGCCGGCGGCGAAAGCGAUUCUCUGGCCUAUUACUGACACUCAGUGUGCGAAAGCUAGGGGAGCAAACGGGAUUAGAUACCCCGGUAGUCCUAGCCGUAAACGAUGGGCACUAAGUAGAGGGGUUUU
rnacentral:rRNA from 1 species